rnacentral:misc_RNA from 1 species
UUGUUCAGUUUUGAGAGUUCAAUCUCUCAAUUAUAGAAAGCACACUACUUUCUUCUUAUCAAAUAAGAAGAAUUUUGGUUGCGAUUGUUCUUUGAAAACUAGAUAACAGUAAUUGCUGAGGAAAAGUGAAACUUUUCUUUAAUCAAAUCAAUAAAUAACACAACAUUAUGUUGUACCAUUUAUUCGCUAAUGGUUAAGUUAGAAAGGGCGCACGGUGAAUGCCUUGGCACUAGGAGCCGAUGAAGGACGGGACUAACACCGAUAUGCUUCGGGGAGCUGUAAGUGAGCUUUGAUCCGGAGAUUUCCGAAUGGGGAAACCCG